AUGAACAACCCUGGGGAGGCGGGGCGAUGCAACGAACCUCGGGUAUGGAUACCAUCGCUGGAGGGAGUAGCCAAAAUCAACGUGGAUGGCGCCUUGGCGCGCAACAGAAGAGGAGGAGCAGUUGCCGCGGUGUGCCGUGAUCAUACUGGGAUAUACCUCGGUUCAUCCGCGGUGGUGUUCAAUGGAACCAGAGACCCAACAAUUCUUGAAACCUAUGCUUGCAGGGAAGGCAUGGCUCUGGCGGAUGAUCUUCUCCAACAGAAAAUAAAGGUGGUGUCGGAUUGCUUGGGAGUAGUGAACGACAUCAACAAAGGCACGGGAGGAGUCCAUGCUGCCAUUGUUCAGGAAAUAUCAAAUCAUUGUAAUAGUUUUGAUUUAUGUUCCUUUGUUCAUGAGACUAGAAACCAUAACUUCGAGGCUCAUAAUCUCGCCAAAUUUUCUUGUAAUCUGAAUGUAGGUAGGCACGUAUGGCUGGUUAACCCCCAUGACCCAGCACGUGUGCCUAUGAACAUCCUUGAUCAAUAA
rnacentral:rRNA from 1 species